rnacentral:rRNA from 1 species
GGCGGACGGGUGAGUAAUGCCUAGGAAAUUGCCUUGAUGUGGGGGAUAACCAUUGGAAACGAUGGCUAAUACCGCAUAAUGCCUACGGGCCAAAGAGGGGGANCUUCGGACCUCUCGCGUCAAGAUAUGCCUAGGUGGGAUUAGCUAGUUGGUGAGGUAAUGGCUCACCAAGGCGACGAUCCCUAGCUGGUCUGAGAGGAUGAUCAGCCACACUGGAACUGAGACACGGUCCAGACUCCUACGGGAGGCAGCAGUGGGGAAUAUUGCACAAUGGGCGAAAGCCUGAUGCAGCCAUGCCGCGUGUAUGAAGAAGGCCUUCGGGUUGUAAAGUACUUUCAGUUGUGAGGAAGGGUGUGUAGUUAAUAGCUGCGCAUCUUGACGUUAGCAACAGAAGAAGCACCGGCUAACUCCGUGCCAGCAGCCGCGGUAAUACGGAGGGUGCGAGCGUUAAUCGGAAUUACUGGGCGUAAAGCGCAUGCAGGUGGUUCAUUAAGUCAGAUGUGAAAGCCCGGGGCUCAACCUCGGAACUGCAUUUGAAACUGGUGAACUAGAGUGCUGUAGAGGGGGGUAGAAUUUCAGGUGUAGCGGUGAAAUGCGUAGAGAUCUGAAGGAAUACCAGUGGCGAAGGCGGCCCCCUGGACAGACACUGACACUCAGAUGCGAAAGCGUGGGGAGCAAACAGGAUUAGAUACCCUNNNAGUCCACGCCGUAAACGAUGUCUACUU